CCUACGGGAGGCAGCAGUGGGGAAUAUUGCGCAAUGGGCGAAAGCCUGACGCAGCGACGCCGCGUGAGGGAUGAAGGUCUUCGGAUCGUAAACCUCUGUCAGCAGGGAAGCACGGUCACUGUGCUAAUCAGCAGUGAAUUGACGGUACCUGCAAAGGAAGCACCGGCUAACUCCGUGCCAGCAGCCGCGGUAAUACGGAGGGUGCGAGCGUUAAUCGGAAUUACUGGGCGUAAAGCGCUCGUAGGCGGUAUGUCAAGUCAAGGGUGAAAUCCCCGCGCUCAACGUGGGAACUGCCUUUGAAACUGGCAAACUGGAGUGUGUGAGAGGAUAGUGGAAUGCCAGGUGUAGGAGUGAAAGCCGUAGAUAUCUGGAGGAACAUCAGUGGCGAAGGCGACUAUCUGGCACAUAACUGACGCUGAGGAGCGAAAGCGUGGGUAGCAAACAGGAUUAGAUACCCUGGUAGUC
rnacentral:rRNA from 1 species